rnacentral:rRNA from 1 species
UGUAGGUGAACAGACUUACAUUUGAUUUCAAGACGGGUAGACCCCGAUGAGCUUGAAUAGCGGUGUAUAUUUUUGACAAGGUAAUAAUUAACUUGGCAUUUUGUAGUAUACUUCUUCGGUUGGGAAAACCGAGGAGAUGAAUGAAACUCUUAAUUGUUGCGUGUGGUAAAUAUCAAGAUCUUUUACGAAAGAAAUUUUUUAUAAAGAAAAGCUACCGCGGGGAUAACAGCAUUGUCCUUUCGGAGAGAAUACAUUGAUGAAGGGGUUUGUGACCUCGAUUUUGGAUCAUAGGAUUUCUGG